UGAGCAGACUUGGAAACCUGCUGGUUUGCUUUUCUUUUCGAGUCUGUGGUUUCAAUUUACAAUGGAGUGUUUCUUAUAUCAAGAUUCUGAUGUGUACAUCUUUGUGGCAGUCUUAGAAUGCUGUUUGAAAGAAUUAGAUUUCCCUUCCAAAAGUUCUCGCCUCUUUUUUCUUUCCCAGUACGACCCAAUGGUUUAAAUAUUUAAAGGACGUUACAAACUAACUCUGAACGCAGUAUGCAUUUUUAAAAUUGUGUUCGUCCAUGUUAUCAAUUUUGUAUGAUCUGAUUGAAUGCUGGGUACCGCAUAACUUCUAAAUUGGAGCUCCGAUUGUUUGCUGCUGGCACUGCGCUUGGUGAAGAUUUGUUCCCUUGAACAUUCAGUAUGGCUGUUUCAACAGGCUGAGAAACUCAGCAAGUCAAUGAUGAAAGAAAGGCCCUGAGAUUGAUAGCUGCUGUAGUGGACUGCUGCCAUAAUUCCUGUGAAAAUCUUACAAAUGGAACAACAAACACCACUCAAACCCAGUCCCUGGACUGUCAUUGAGAUUCCAAUGCCUUUGCUUUGGAACCUAAACUGCCUUAAAUAAAGCCACUGAUGCAUUCAGAAAGAAGCCAAAGGUGAGAACUUGAUGUGCUUGGAAGCUGUGUUCCGUGUAACUUUCAAGCCCAGUACAUGCAGUAAGAUGAGGCAAACUGGCCUAUCAAGAAGGACUGGAAGCUGCAAACCAAGACAAAAAACUAACACCUGUGAAAAAGCAACUUGGGAAAACCACUGUUCAGUGAGACAUCAAGGCUAGCUAUAAGCUUUGCCAUUCUUCAGGAAACAGGAAAACAGCUAAACAGGUGGAGCAAAAGUUUCACAAUUGCAAUGCAAUGAAUCUGAAAACUUUAUUCUGUAACUGUCUUUACCUUCCUGGAUGAUGAAAGCUCUUCCCUCCUUUUUAAGCUCAUUGCAGUGUUUGUGUGAAUAUUUAUGUGACCUUUCUGUUUUUUUUCAAGGUAGCCGGUAAUAAAUGUCUUCAUUCU